CGGAGGGAUCAUUGCUGGAACGCGCUUCGGCGCACCCAGAAACCCUUUGUGAACUUAUACCUUACUGUUGCCUCGGCGCAGGCCGGCCCCCCCACCGGGGCCCCUCGGAGACGAGGAGCAGCCCGCCGGCGGCCAACCAAACUCUUGUUUCUUAGUGAAUCUCUGAGUAAAAAAACAUAAAUGAAUCAAAACUUUCAACAACGGAUCUCUUGGUUCUGGCAUCGAUGAAGAACGCAGCGAAAUGCGAUAAGUAAUGUGAAUUGCAGAAUUCAGUGAAUCAUCGAAUCUUUGAACGCACAUUGCGCCCUCUGGUAUUCCGGAGGGCAUGCCUGUUCGAGCGUCAUUUCAACCCUCAAGCCUGGCUUGGUGUUGGGGCACUGCUUCGAGAGGAGCAGGCCCUGAAAUCUAGUGGCGAGCUCGCCAGGACCCCGAGCGUAGUAGUUAUAUCUCGUUCUGGAAGGCCCUGGCGGUGCCCUGCCGUUAAACCCCCAACUUCAGAAAUUU
rnacentral:rRNA from 1 species